AUUGAACGCUGGCGGCAGGCCUAACACAUGCAAGUCGAGCGGAUGAAGGGUGCUUGCUCCUGGAUUCAGCGGCGGACGGGUGAGUAAUGCCUAGGAAUCUGCCUGGUAGUGGGGGAUAACGUCCGGAAACGGGCGCUAAUACCGCAUACGUCCUGAGGGAGAAAGUGGGGGAUCUUCGGACCUCACGCUAUCAGAUGAGCCUAGGUCGGAUUAGCUAGUUGGUGGGGUAAAGGCCUACCAAGGCGACGAUCCGUAACUGGUCUGAGAGGAUGAUCAGUCACACUGGAACUGGGACACGGUCCAGACUCCUACGGGAGGCAGCAGUGGGGAAUAUUGGACAAUGGGCGAAAGCCUGAUCCAGCCAUGCCGCGUGUGUGAAGAAGGUCUUCGGAUUGUAAAGCACUUUAAGUUGGGAGGAAGGGCAGUAAGUUAAUACCUUGCUGUUUUGACGUUACCAACAGAAUAAGCACCGGCUAACUUCGUG
rnacentral:rRNA from 1 species